GUUUGAUCCUGGCUCAGGAUGAACGCUGGCGGUAUGCUUAACACAUGCAAGUCGAACGGAAACCUUCGGGUUUUAGUGGCGGACGGGUGAGUAACACGUAAGAACCUACCUUAAGGAGGGGGACAACAGUUGGAAACGGCUGCUAAUACCCCAUAUGCUUUCGAGUGAAAUAAUUUUUUGCCUUUUGAGGGGCUUGCGUCUGAUUAGCUUGUUGGUAAGGUAAAGGCUUACCAAGGCGACGAUCAGUAGCUGGUUUUAGAGGACGAUCAGCCACACUGGGACUGAGAUACGGCCCAGACUCCUACGGGAGGCAGCAGUGGGGAAUCUUCCGCAAUGGACGAAAGUCUGACGGAGCAAUACCGCGUGAGGGAUGAAAGCCUGUGGGUUGUAAACCUCUUUUCUCAGAGAAGAAUAAAUGACGGUAUCUGAGGAAUAAGCAUCGGCUAACUCCGUGCCAGCAGCCGCGGUAAUACGGAGGAUGCAAGCGUUAUCCGGAAUCAUUGGGCGUAAAGCGUCCGCAGGUGGUUUUCAAAGUCUGCUGUUAAAGACUGGAGCUCAACUCCGGAACGGCGGUGGAAACUUGGAAACUAGAGUUCGGUAGGGGUAGCAGGAAUUCCCAGUGUAGCGGUGAAAUGCGUAGAUAUUGGGAAGAACAUCGGUGGCGAAGGCGUGCUACUGGACCGCAACUGACACUCAGGGACGAAAGCUAGGGGAGCGAAAGGGAUUAGAUACCCCUGUAGUCCUAGCUGUAAACGAUGGAAACUAGGUGUGGCUUGUAUCGACCCGAGCCGUGCCGUAGCUAACGCGUUAAGUUUCCCGCCUGGGGAGUACGCACGCAAGUGUGAAACUCAAAGGAAUUGACGGGGGCCCGCACAAGCGGUGGAGCAUGUGGUUUA
rnacentral:rRNA from 1 species